rnacentral:lncRNA from 1 species
CUUUACAGCACGUUUGGUAACGUAUAUAAGCUGCAUAUUUAGUAAAACAUGGUCAUUAACCCAAAUAUGGCUCUCAAAAACCUUGUAACAGUUUGCUUCUCAAUUCUCCUCAUCAAGAUUGUCACCACCCAUCCACUUCCGCCAUUCUCUUGUGACACCACAAAUCCAUUAACCAAAUCAUUCACAUUUUGCAACACCUCAUUACCAAUAGAUCAACGCGUCGACGACUUGGUGUCACGUCUCACAUUGGAUGAGAAAAUAUCUCAGCUAGCUAAUAAGGCGUACGCCAUCCCUCGCCUCGGGAUCCCGUACUACCAAUGGUGGUCGGAGGCUUUGCACGGUGUUGCCGCUGCUUAUCGAGUCCAAAAUGGGAUCAUGUUCAACGGGACUAUUCGAGCAGCCACCAGUUUUCCUCAAGUAAUUCUUACUGCCGCUACAUUUGAUGACGUUUUGUGGUAUCGUAUAGCUAAGGUAAUUAGUACAGAAGCAAGGGCAAUAUACAAUGAAGGAGAAGCAAUAGGAAUGACAUUUUUUGCCCCCAACAUAAAUAUUUUUAGGGACCCUAGGUGGGGUAGAGGGCAAGAAACCCCUGGAGAAGACCCUUUGGUUACUGGAGUAUAUGCAAGGUCGUUUGUUAGAGGACUUCAAGGGGAUAUUUAUGAAGGUGGUAACCUCGAAUAUCAGUACCUUAAAGUUUCUGCAUGCUGUAAGCAUUUGGCUGCAUAUGAUUUGGAAAAAUGGAAUGGAAGUGUUCGUUUCACCUUCGAUGCUCAUGUAAGCCACUUGCUCAACUGGUACCAUGUUUAGUUGUGUUAAAAGUUACUUUUUAAGCAAAGUCGAUAACGUCCUUAAUAGGAUACAUUACUCAUUUGUAUAUUUCUUUGUGUUUGGCGAGGUUGAAUAGGUGACGAAGCAAGAUAUGGCAGAUAUGUACCAGCCACCCUUCAGAAGCUGUGUCCAGGACGGUCAAGCAAGCGGGAUAAUGUGUGGUUACAAUCUCGUUAAUGGCGUCCGGAGCUGUGCUGAUUACGAUCUCUUAACGAAAACUGCUAGAGGAGAAUGGGGUUUCAAGGGGUAAACUUUUUAUUAUUCAAUAGUUUAUUGAGAAGAAAUUUGGCCUUUCUUGGUGUUUCUAACUUAAUUGAGAAUGAUCAGGUACAUAACAUCAGAUUAUGACGUACCGCGAUUUAUAUAUGAGACACAAACGUUCUUAAAAUUACCUGAAGACGUUGUAGCUGAUGUUCUUAAAGCCGGUACGAUGGAUUGGUUUUGAGUAUCUUGCUAUUAUUCGAUAACUUGUCCAACAAUAUUUUUUCCAAAAGAAUGAAAAUUUUUAAUUUACAGGAAUGGAUCUUGAUUGUGGAACGUUUUUCGUUAAGAACAAUACAAAAUCAGCAAUUGAGACAGGAAAAGUAUCUGAAUCUGAUGUAGACAGAGCCAUUCACAACCUCUUUUCUGUUAGAAUGAGAUUAGGUCUCUUCAAUGGCGAUCCAAGGAAACAAACUUGGGGUGAAAUAGGACGAGAUCAAAUUUGUUCGAAGGAGCACCAGGAUUUGGCACUUAAAGCUGCUCGGAGUGGGAUCGUCCUUCUUAAGAACACGGCCAAGCACCUUCCUUUUUCAAAGGCCAAAACGAAGUCUCUAGCAAUAAUAGGCCCCAAUGCCAAUAAUUCGAAAACACUUAUCGGAAAUUAUGCAGGCCCCCCUUGCGAAACCAUUACUCCCCUAGAAGGGCUUUCAAGUUUUGUCAAGAACAUUAAGUUCCAUCAGGGCUGCCUAUAUACAAAUUGCACUUCCAUUUCCACCGACGAAGUUGUGACAAUCGCGAAAUCUGUAGAUCAUGUGGUGUUGGUAAUGGGACUCAGUCAAGAUCAAGAAAGGGAAAAUGUUGAUCGUGAUGAACUUGUGCUCCCCGGUGAGCAAAUGAGUCUUAUAACAAGCGUAGCCAAGGCGGCUAAAAAGCCAGUUGUACUAGUACUACUUUGUGGAGGUCCGGUUGACAUUUCUUUCGCCAAGAACGAUCCAAAAAUUGGAAGUAUUUUGUGGGCAGGAUAUCCCGGAGGAGCAGGAGGCCAAGCAAUUGCAGAUAUUAUAUUCGGUCAAUAUAAUCCAGGUGGAAUUUAUUGGCAAAACUUUAGUCAUUCCCUUCAAGUUAAAACCAAAGCCACUAACAAGAUUUUAGUUAACAUGCAAUUCGUACUCUUUUUUUUUUUCCCCUUGCAGGAGGGCGAUUGCCUAUGACUUGGUAUCCAAAAGAUUUCGUCGAAAUACCAAUGACAGAUAUGAGGUUGCGGUCUGAUCCAGCCUCGGGCUAUCCAGGGCGAACUUACAGAUUCUAUAACGGGGAAAAGGUAUACGAAUUUGGACAUGGACUUAGCUACACAAGGUAUAGUUACAAGUUUGUGAAUGCCAUCCCAAACAAACUCGAUUUCAAGAAUCUGUCGACUACAGUCAAGGCCAAAAACUCGGGUUACAUUCCAGUCUCUGAUAUAGGUACAGAAUCAUGUGCCAAGUCAUUGUUUUCUGUCGUCGUUAGAGUGAAAAAUCAUGGGAAGAUGUGGGGUAGUCAUCCGGUUUUGCUGUUUUUAAAGCGAGAAAAGGCCAAUAAUGGGAGUCCAUUGAAACAAUUGCUAGGAUUUAAUACAGUGCAGUUGGAUCCAAAAGCAAAAGUUGAAGUUGAAUAUCCAUUGAAUCCAUGUGGGGAUUUCAGCAGAGCUGAUGAAAAUGGAGAAAUGGUGAUUGAUGAAGGGACUCAUUACUUAACAGUGGGAGAUGAAGAACAUUCUAUUAUCAUUAAUAUUUGAUAGAAAACCAGCAAAUCUCUUGCUUCUUGGUUUAUUUCAAAGGUGCAAUAAAAGGAAUUAUGUUGUGUUAAGACCAUGGAUUCACUGCAUCUAAUUAUUUAUAUUUUCAACACCCUUGUCUGAAAUUUCAUGGAAACGAUACACAAAAUUGCAUUUUCAAAUGAAUGCGUUUUUGUACAAAUGGAUUCUUGAACAAACUUGUACAAUUACAAGGUCCGAACACAAUGAUCAAG